GUAGUCGCCCGCGGGGGGCGGGUGUUGGCGGCUUUGGGAGUCCCCCUGCCGGAAGGGCGAGUGACCGAGGGGCAUGUCGGCCCAGGGCGACUGUGAGUUCCUGGUGCAGCGAGCCCGGGAGCUCGUGCCCCAGGACCUGUGGGCAGCCAAGGCGUGGCUGAUCACGGCCCGCAGCCUCUACCCGGCCGACUUCAACAUCCAGUAUGAGAUGUACACCAUCGAACGGAAUGCAGAGAGGACUGCCACUGCGGGGAGGUUGCUGUAUGACAUGUUUGUGAAUUUCCCAGACCAGCCGGUGGUGUGGAGAGAAAUCAGUAUCAUAACAUCAGCACUGAGGAAUGAUUCACAGGAUAAGCAAACCCAAUUUUUAAGGAGCUUAUUUGAAACUCUUCCGGGCCGGGUCCAGUGUGAAAUGUUACUGAAGGUGACGGAACAGUGCUUCAACACGUUGGAACGAUCCGAGAUGCUGCUGUUGCUUCUGAGGCGCUUCCCUGAGACAGUGGUGCAACAUGGGGUUGGCCUUGGGGAGGCACUGCUAGAAGCUGAGACCAUUGAAGAGCAGGAGUCUCCAGUUAACUGCUUUCGAAAGCUAUUUGUUUGUGAUGUCCUUCCUCUAAUAAUUAACAACCAUGAUGUUCGAUUGCCUGCCAAUUUGUUAUAUAAAUACUUGAACAAAGCAGCUGAGUUUUAUAUCAACUAUGUCACUCGGUCCACACAGGUGGAAAACCAGCAUCAAGGUGCACAAGAUACAUCUGAUUUAAUGUCGCCCAGCAAACGUAGCUCUCAGAAGUACAUAAUAGAAGGACUGACUGAGAAAUCAUCCCAGAUUGUAGACCCUUGGGAGAGGUUGUUUAAGAUUCUGAAUGUUGUUGGAAUGAGAUGCGAAUGGCAGAUGGAUAAAGGGAGACGAAGCUGUAGCGACCUACUGCACCGAAUGAAGGAGCUCAGCAGGUACAUGAACACCUUCGACAGCGAAGCUCACGCCAACUAUAAGAACCAGGUGCUCUACUCCACAAUGCUGGUCUUCUUCAAGAGUGCGUUCCAGUACAUCAGCAGCAUACAGCCGUCUCUCUUCCAAGGUCCUAACGCCCCAAGCCAGGUUCCACUAGUUCUUCUGGAAGAUGUAGCCAAUGUGUAUGGUGAUGUAGAAAUUGAUCGCAGUAAACACAUACACAAGAAGAGGAAGCUAGCUGAGGGAAGAGAAAAAACCAUGCAGAGUUCAGAUGAUGAGGAAUGCUCAGCAAAAGGGAGAAGCCGGCACAUUGUUGUCAGUAAAGCUGAGCUCAGCAACUCCAUGGAAGUGCUGGAGAGCUUCAAGCUGGCCAGGGAGAGCUGGGAGCUGCUCUAUUCCCUGGAAUUCCUUGACAAAGAAUUUACAAGAAUUUGUUUGGCUUGGAAGACGGACACAUGGCUGUGGCUAAGAAUCUUCCUCACAGAUAUGAUCAUCUACCAGGGUCAAUAUAAGAAGGCAAUAGCCAGUCUGCAUCACUUAGCAGCUCUCCAAGGAUCCCUUUCUCAGCCGCAGAUCACAGGACAGGGGACUUUAGAACACCAGAGGGCGCUCAUCCAGCUGGCAACCUGUCACUUUGCGCUGGGGGAGUAUAGAAUGACAUGUGAGAAGGUUCUGGACCUGAUGUGCUACAUGGUGCUACCCAUACAAGAUGGAGGGAAAUCGCAGGAAGAGCCCUCCAAAGUGAAGCCCAAGUUUAGGAAAGGUUUGGAUCUGAAGCUUCUGCCCUGUACCAGUAAGGCUAUUAUGCCGUACUGCCUGCACUUGAUGCUAGCAUGCUUUAAGCUGAGAGCUUUUACGGACAACAGAGAUGACAUGGCGCUGGGCCAUGUGAUUGUACUUCUCCAGCAGGAGUGGCCGCGGGGAGAGAACCUUUUCCUGAAAGCCAUCAGUAAGAUUUGCCAGCAAGGAAAUUUCCAGUAUGAGAACUUCUUCAGCUAUGUUACAAACAUUGACAUGCUGGAGGAGUUUGCUUAUUUAAGAACCCAGGAAGGAGGGAAGAUUCACCUGGAAUUACUCCCCAAUCAAGGAAUGCUGAUCAAAUAACCUCUAUCUAAAUGACGCCAAGAGAAUCAAACUGCGUAAGACAGAGAUUUGACUGACUGAGGUGUGAUUAGACUCUUGAAUAAAACUAUCUAUAUUCCUUUUCCCUUUGGGUUCCAAACAAAUUCUCUGAAGCCAUUGCAGACCUUGUGGGUGGUCCCUCCAGAUGAGUGGCAGAGAUGUUGUGAGCAGUGUACCUCUCCUCCCCUUGGGGUAAGGUUGUGAGUCCGUCCUAGUUGUAGCAUCUCGGAUGCAAGCAGGUACAGUACAAACACUGGGCACCUGGUGCCAGGCCUAAAGGAGACAGAAGGUCUCCGUUUGUUCCGUAGAUAUGUUGUUCUGACGUGUGUUCAAUGAGAGAACCGUUUCCAUGCCGACAGCCACAGAACCAUUAGUUGCACUAGACUGGAUCAAAAUGGAAAGAAAUCUCGGGGCUAAUGUACUAAAUCUUCAUUACAGAAUUCUGCAAAACCAUGGCUCCCAGCCUUGUUUUCCUCAAAAUCUCAAACACCCUUUCUUUAUUGAAAACAUUGCCAGCCCUUCUGAGUCCUCUUUGAAGGGCGGCCUCUCAGUCUGGGGCUUCAGUCCUGCUAAGGUGGCUAGCCAGUGUCCCCAGGUGUGUUUCUGGGACCGGCGAGGGCAGGAGAAGAGUGAGGGAAGCAGGCUGGAUUUUGAGUCCUGUCUUCUCGGAUGUUACCCCUCCCCACUACCCUCUCGUCUCCCUCCAUCUUCCUCACUGAUGCCUUUAUACUCCAAAUCACAAGUGGGAAGAGCUCUGGGACCAGGAGCCAAGAUGCCUCUAGACUGGCACCAGCAGCGGGUGCGGUGGGGCCCUCAGCUUCUCCCAGUCCCCCUGAAGACAGCACGGCCAGGGGCUUGUGGAGGUUCAAGUUUCUGUACAGUCCGCUUUCCAGUCCUGUGUAUCCUCUCCGGAGUGUUGUUUUUGCAGUGCAGGGUGAGCUGGUGUGGGUGUUUGAAUGCUGCUGUUUGCUGUCUUUUAAAGGCCUUCUAGCCCUCCCAUGGGGUUACUGCAGCAGGAAUUCUUACCUGUGCUUCAGCCCAGCAUACAGACUGCUGACAGGCACCACACAGUCACUCGUGGCAUCACCAAAGGCGUGAAGGAGGACUUCCGCCUGGCCAUGGAGCGCCAGGU